UUAGCCCUAAGCCCGUUAUGUUUUUUUUUUAUGAAAACAAACACUAUUAACACGACGUCGUUUUGAUUUUUCUUCAAGGCCGUCUCUUUUUUCCAGAAACCAGAAAAGAGAGAAACAAAGAGGAUCGCAACGUGAACCCUAGAAUCUGAACGAAGCUGCUCAAAUUCAAAUCCGAUAACACGACGUCCUCAUCAAGUUCUGCUGCUCCUGGAUUGAUUUCAACGAACACACCAACCCUAGAGAUCGAUUUCGAAGAUCGUCGUCGGGGUUGUAUCCGUCUUCUCCAAUAAGCAUUCUGUGAGGU
rnacentral:lncRNA from 1 species